rnacentral:rRNA from 1 species
CUACGGGUCGCUCCAGUGAGGAAUAUUGCACAAUGGGGGGAACCCUGAUGCAGCAACGCCGCGUGGAGGAUGACGCAUUUCGGUGUGUAAACUCCUUUUAUAUGUCAAGAAAAUGACGGUAUCAUAUGAAUAAGCACCGGCUAACUCCGUGCCAGCAGCCGCGGUAAUAGGAGGGUGCAAGCGUUACUCGGAAUCACUGGGCGUAAAGGACGCGUAGGCGGGUUGGAAAGUCAGGUGUGAAAUCCUACAGCUUAACUGUAGAACUGCACUUGAAACUUCUAAUCUAGAGUAUGGGAGGGGGAGAUGGAAUUAGUGGUGUAGGGGUAAAAUCCGUAGAUAUCACUAGGAAUACCUAAAGCGAAGGCGAUCUCCUGGAACAUUACUGACGCUAAGGCGUGAAAGCGUGGGGAGCAAACAGGAUUAGAUACCGUGUAGUC